UUUACCUACGGGGCGCAGCAGUGAGGAAUAUUGGUCAAUGGCCGAGAGGCUGAACCAGCCAAGUCGCGUGAGGGAUGACGGCCCUACGGGUUGUAAACCUCUUUUGUCGGGGAGCAAAGAGAGUCACGUGUGGCUCAUUGAGAGUACCCGAAGAAAAAGCAUCGGCUAACUCCGUGCCAGCAGCCGCGGUAAUACGGAGGAUGCGAGCGUUAUCCGGAUUUAUUGGGUUUAAAGGGUGCGUAGGCGGAUCGUUAAGUCAGUGGUCAAAUUGAGGGGCUCAACCCCUUCCCGCCAUUGAAACUGUC
rnacentral:rRNA from 1 species